AGAACGAACGCUGGCGGCAUGCCUAAUACAUGCAAGUCGAACGAACACUUCGGUGUUAGUGGCGCACGGGUGCGUAACGCGUGGGAAUCUGCCCUUGGGUUCGGAAUAACAGUUGGAAACGACUGCUAAUACCGGAUGAUAUCGAAAGAUCAAAGAUUUAUCGCCCAGGGAUGAGCCCGCGUAGGAUUAGCUAGUUGGUGAGGUAAAGGCUCACCAAGGCGACGAUCCUUAGCUGGUCUGAGAGGAUGAUCAGCCACACUGGGACUGAGACACGGCCCAGACUCCUACGGGAGGCAGCAGUAGGGAAUAUUGGACAAUGGGCGCAAGCCUGAUCCAAGCAAUGCCGCGUGAGUGAUGAAGGCCUUAGGGUUGUAAAGCUCUUU
rnacentral:rRNA from 1 species